CGCACAGCGAAAGGUGCUUGCACCUUUCAAGUGAGUGGCGAACGGGUGAGUAACACGUGGACAACCUGCCUCAAGGCUGGGGAUAACAUUUGGAAACAGAUGCUAAUACCGAAUAAAACUUAGUGUCGCAUGACACAAAGUUAAAAGGCGCUUCGGCGUCACCUAGAGAUGGAUCCGCGGUGCAUUAGUUAGUUGGUGGGGUAAAGGCCUACCAAGACAAUGAUGCAUAGCCGAGUUGAGAGACUGAUCGGCCACAUUGGGACUGAGACACGGCCCAAACUCCUACGGGAGGCUGCAGUAGGGAAUCUUCCACAAUGGGCGAAAGCCUGAUGGAGCAACGCCGCGUGUGUGAUGAAGGCUUUCGGGUCGUAAAGCACUGUUGUAUGGGAAGAACAGCUAGAAUAGGAAAUGAUUUUAGUUUGACGGUACCAUACCAGAAAGGGACGGCUAAAUACGUGCCAGCAGCCGCGGUAAUACGUAUGUCCCGAGCGUUAUCCGGAUUUAUUGGGCGUAAAGCGAGCGCAGACGGUUUAUUAAGUCUGAUGUGAAAGCCCGGAGCUCAACUUCGGAAUGGCAUUGGAAACUGGUUAACUUGAGUGCAGUAGAGGUAAGUGGAACUCCAUGUGUAGCGGUGGAAUGCGUAGAUAUAUGGAAGAACACCAGUGGCGAAGGCGGCUUACUGGACUGCAACUGACGUUGAGGCUCGAAAGUGUGGGUAGCAAACAGGAUUAGAUACCCUGGUAGUCCACACCGUAAACGAUGAACACUAGGUGUUAGGAGGUUUCCGCCUCUUAGUGCCGAAGCUAACGCAUUAAGUGUUCCGCCUGGGGAGUACGAC
rnacentral:rRNA from 1 species